CAACCCAGUCCUGGUGCUCCGCAGGGCGCAGCUUUAUACGACCGCAGAGGUCGAACCCUGAACAGUUGGGGCAAGUAUGGACAAAACAUUCAAGCGUGAUACAGCUCUGAAUUUGGAUUGUGAUCAAAUUUUUGAAAUUACAUGGUUUUUUUUUUACACAAAACAAAUGUCAUGAUUUUACAAAUCAAUUAAAGAUUUCUUCUUCAAACUUUUUAAAUCUAAAAUUAAAUAGUUGACACAGCAUAGGUUUCUGACACAGAAUGAAUGUGGUCUAAUGAACUUAAAAGUUUUAUUUUGCCUUUGCACAAUUCACUAUGCUGUUGAAUAUUAAUCCUCUCAAAAAAAUGUUUGAAGAAAUUUUCUUUUUAUUUAUGAAAUCUGAAAUGAGAAAAAUUUAAACCCUCCCCCCCCCUUUUUUUUCACAUCUCCGUUUCCCUUUUUCCAAAACUGAUAUCAAUUCAAAUUUCUAAUGGAGUUUGCAACAAUAACUACUCUUUUAAAUACAUCAUAAAAUAUUAAAAUGUAAAAUAAAGUGCUUGUUAUCACUGAAUGGUAAAGAUUGGUUGGUAGUAAAAGUGAAUAUACAUUGUUUAUUGUAUAAAACAAUAAAAAAAACUUC
rnacentral:lncRNA from 1 species